AUUGAACGCUGGCGGCAGGCCUAACACAUGCAAGUCGAACGAGUGGCGGACGGGUGAGUAAUGUCUGGGAAACUGCCUGAUGGAGGGGGAUAACUACUGGCAACGGUAGCUAAUACCGCAUACCAUCAGAUCUGCCCAGAUGGGUUUAGCUUGUGGGUGGGGUAACGGCUCACCAAGGCGCCGCUCCCUAGCUGGUCUGCGAGGAUGACCAGCAACACGGGAACUGAGACACGGUCCAGACACCUACGGGAGGCAGCAGUGGGGAAUAUUGCACAAGGGGGGCAAGACUGAUGCAGCCAUGCCGCGUGUAUGAAGAAGGCCUUCGGGUUGAAAAGUACUUUCAGCGGGGAGGCGGUACCCGCAGAAGAAGCACCGGCUAACUCCGUGCCAGCAGCCGCGGUAAUAC
rnacentral:rRNA from 1 species